rnacentral:rRNA from 1 species
AUUGAACGCUGGCGGCAGGCUUAACACAUGCAAGUCGAGCGGGGUUUUCGGACUUAGCGGCGGACGGGUGAGUAAUGCGUAGGAAGCUGCCCGAUAGAGGGGGAUACCAGUUGGAAACGACUGUUAAUACCGCAUAAUGUCUACGGACCAAAGUGUGGGACCUUCGGGCCACAUGCUAUCGGAUGCGCCUACGUGGGAUUAGCUAGUUGGUGAGGUAAUGGCUCACCAAGGCGACGAUCUCUAGCUGGUUUGAGAGGAUGAUCAGCCACACUGGAACUGAGACACGGGCCAGACUCCUACGGGAGGCAGCAGUGGGGAAUAUUGGACAGUGGGCGCAAGCCUGAUCCAGCCAUGCCGCGUGUGUGAAGAAGGCCUUCGGGUUGUAAAGCACUUUCAGUAGGGAGGAAGGGUGUUGUGUUAAUAGCACAGCAUUUUGACGUUACCUACAAAAGAAGCCCCGGCUAACUUCGUGCCAGCCGCCGCGGUAAGAC